rnacentral:rRNA from 1 species
UACGUAGGGGGGCUAGCGUUGUCCGGAUUUAUUGGGCGUAAAGAGCGUGUAGGCGGCCAGGUAGGUCCGUUGUGAAAACUCGAGGCUCAACCUCGAGACGUCGGCGGAAACCCUCUGGCUAGAGUCCGGAAGAGGAGAGUGGAAUUCCUGGUGUAGCGGUGAAAUGCGCAGAUAUCAGGAAGAACACCCGUGGCGAAGGCGGCUCUCUGGGACGGUACUGACGCUGAGACGCGAAAGCGUGGGAGCAAACAGG